GCAAAAUUUCAAUAAAACAUUUAAUGUCAAACUUUUUAGAGUAACACCAGUGUUUUAUAACUUUUCAUUGCAUUUUGCCACUGAAGUUCUUGAAGCUUUAUUCAGAUUUUUGUAAAGUAACCUAAAAUCCUUUAUGUUAGAUUAACACAUUUAUAAUCAUUCUGUUGUUUAACAAGUGAAGCAAGGCUAUAAAACUUGCUCCAAAAGGCAGAAGAUUGUCAGAAGACAGUAAUGUGACAUUUAACAACCAUAUUUUCUAGUCAUCAACUUCUUAUUUGAUAGAGUCCAUAGCACAGUUUUAAAUUUCCCAUCAGUUCAAAUACCACUUAAAAGUUGGAGGGGGAAAAGAAAUACCUGCUGUUGCAAAGAAGUUUAUUCUUUUUUCCUUGUGAAUAAUUCUCUGAAAGAUAUCAGGUGAUAGUUGCACCAUUUCACGUUAAAGUUGGCUAAUAUGAAUUAACUGGUUGUCUAACCAGUUAACUUGAGAUCCAGUAUACUUUCUUUUGUAUUUUUUUCCUGAAAAACACCUUGGUUUUCUGUUAACUGAAGUUAAAUACGGUGAACAUGCAUGUUGGUUACAUGGAUAGGUCCUCCUGCUAAAAAAGUAAAAUUACCAGUUUUAUUAUAAACAUUCAAGUACUAGUUUAAAUACUAUAUUUCUCUGACAGUGGGACUCAAAUAUAUACCUUUAAAACCAUAUAAUUUCAGUUAUCUCAUGUUUAAUAGUUUGAAAGAGACCAGAAAAUUCAGUAGUAUAUCUCUGCUUAUUAGUAAUUUGUAACCCUGGUACCCUAGGAUUGUUCUGCCUAUCCUAAAAGGAAGAAAGGGGUUGAAGAUCAUACAGACAGACUCUAAAAAGGCAGAGAUCCUCCAAAACUGCAAUGUAAAUGAUAUGAUAAUGGGGGACGGAUCAUUUGAGGAUACACCUGACCUUAGUCACCUGUUUGCCCCAGAGAUUUCCCAACCUCACCAGUUUGCCUCACUCUCCUUUGGUAAGUAAUAGGUAUAUUUCGGUUCCAUCACUGCUCAUUACUAUUUAACUGCCUACUCUAACACUAUGAGAAUACCUUUUUACAUACCUAGGGCUUUUAGUUCAAGUCCCUGAUACUAAUAAUGAAUGGCAUUGGUUAAAUUACACUUUCCAAAAACAACUCCUAACUAUAACUCCUAACUAUAUGUUAACUUUGUCCAUAGUAAAAUUAUAAAUCUCCCUUUAUCAAAAGACAGAGUAAAAAUAAGGCAUAGAUAACCAACAUAUAUAACCAAUACACAUAAUCAGAAAGGACUAGUGUUCUAGAUCAUUCAGUAUAGAUCAAUGGAUUGAUAGAUGGACAAAAUUUUAAUAAGAAAAAAGAUGUAUUAAUCAAACUGAAAAUGAAUAAAAAACUUGUAUCAUCUUGAAAGGAAAUCUU
rnacentral:lncRNA from 1 species